UGGGGAAUAUUGCACAAUGGGCGCAAGCCUGAUGCAGCCAUGCCGCGUGUGUGAAGAAGGCCUUCGGGUUGUAAAGCACUUUCAGCGGGGAGGAAGGCGUUAAGGUUAAUAACCUUGGCGAUUGACGUUACCCGCAGAAGAAGCACCGGCUAACUCCGUGCCAGCAGCCGCGGUAAUACGGAGGGUGCAAGCGUUAAUCGGAAUUACUGGGCGUAAAGCGCACGCAGGCGGUCUGUCAAGUCGGAUGUGAAAUCCCCGGGCUCAACCUGGGAGCUGCAUUCGAAACUGGCAGGCUAGAGUCAUGUAGAGAGGGGUAGAAUUCCAGGUGUGGCGGUGAAAUGCGUAGAGAUCUGGAGGAAGACCGGUGGCGGGGGCGGCCCCCUGGACAAAGACUGACGCUCAGGUGCGAAAGCGUGGGGAGCAAACAGG
rnacentral:rRNA from 1 species